rnacentral:rRNA from 1 species
ACACGACUACAUUAGAUACCCCUGUAGUCCUAGGCGUAAAUGAUGCGAGUUAAGUNUGGGGGCAUCUACGAGAUGGCCCUGUGCUGUAGGGUAGCCGUUAAACUCGCUGCCUGGGGAGUACGGUCGCAAGGCUGAAACUUAAAGGAAUUGGCGGGGGAGCACCACAAGAGGUGGAGGCUGCGGUUCAAUUGGACUCAACGCCGGAAAACUCAUCGGGAGCGACAGCAGUAUGAUUGCCAGGUUGACGACCUUGCUUGACAAGCUG